GGCUCGUUGGUCUAGGGUAUGAUUCUCGAUUUGGAGUGCUGGAGAUCCCUGGGUUCAAAUCCCGGACAGAGCCU